UCUAAUAUGACAGAAUAAUGUAAUAAACUUAAGAUUUAUAAAUAAAGUAAUAAACUUUUAUUAGAA
rnacentral:tRNA from 1 species